GAUGAACGCUGGCGGCGUGCCUAAUACAUGCAAGUCGAGCGAACAGAUGAGGAGCUUGCUCCUCUGACGUUAGCGGCGGACGGGUGAGUAACACGUGGAUAACCUACCUAUAAGACUGGGAUAACUUCGGGAAACCGGAGCUAAUACCGGAUAAUAUAUUGAACCGCAUGGUUCAAUAGUGAAAGACGGUUUUGCUGUCACUUAUAGAUGGAUCCGCGCCGCAUUAGCUAGUUGGUAAGGUAACGGCUUACCAAGGCGACGAUGCGUAGCCGACCUGAGAGGGUGAUCGGCCACACUGGAACUGAGACACGGUCCAGACUCCUACGGGAGGCAGCAGUAGGGAAUCUUCCGCAAUGGGCGAAAGCCUGACGGAGCAACGCCGCGUGAGUGAUGAAGGUCUUCGGACCGUAAAACUCUGUUAUUAGGGAAGAACAAAUGUGUAAGUAACUAUGCACGUCUUGACGGUACCUAAUCAGAAAGCCACGGCUAACUACGUG
rnacentral:rRNA from 1 species